UUAGGCAAGGUGCAGCUCUUACUAUCAUAACAGCAAGAGGAGGACAGAGAGGAAAUGAGGAAAGAAACUUUUAUUACUGGCCCCCAAACAUACAAGUCACUUUAAAUUGAUUCUGCUAAGCAUUAACACCUCCGAGGAAUGCCCAGAUUGCUGAGCCCCUUCUAAGCCUGGGGCUUUCACCGUGAGCUGCUCACAAAACACAAACAAUGUCUGAUCGGAGUGAAUCUUCCAGGAUCUGAAGUGCAAUUCUUAACAUAUCCUGACUUCUUUUGAAGCCAACUUCCUCUCCUCUGCUUCCUUCCUCUUAAGAAAAUAUGACAAAACUGAAUUCUGGCUACUACCAAGAGUUAUUUUAUUCUGCUUAAGAACUCCACUGUUUGUGCAGAAAACUGUUUUGAUCACACUGAAUUCUUCUUCAGGACAGCUGCCAAGGAAUCAAAACUUCUGAAAUGGAGUCAAUAAACUCCAAUUGUUAGACUGAA